rnacentral:rRNA from 1 species
UACGUAGGGUGCAAGCGUUGUCCGGAAUUAUUGGGCGUAAAGAGCUCGUAGGCGGUUUGUUGCGUCGGCUGUGAAAUCCCGAGGCUCAACCUCGGGUCUGCAGUCGAUACGAGCAAACUAGAGUGUUGCAGGGGAGACUGGAAUUCCUGGUGUAGCGGUGAAAUGCGCAGAUAUCAGGAGGAACACCGGUGGCGAAGGCGGGUCUCUGGGCAAAAACUGACGCUGAGGAGCGAAAGCGUGGGGAGCGAACAGG